AUACGUGAGGUUCAUUGGGUUC
rnacentral:miRNA from 1 species